rnacentral:rRNA from 1 species
UACGGAGGGGGCUAGCGUUGUUCGGAAUUACUGGGCGUAAAGCGUACGUAGGCGGCUUUGUAAGUUAGAGGUGAAAGCCCGGGGCUCAACCCCGGAAUUGCCUUUAAGACUGCAUCGCUAGAAUCAUGGAGAGGUGAGUGGAAUUCCCAGUGUAGCGGUGAAAUGCGUAGAUAUUGGGAGGAACACCAGUGGCGAAGGCGGCUCACUGGACCGGUACUGACGCUGAUGAGCGAAAGCUAGGGGAGCAAACGGG